ensembl:lncRNA
GGAGAGAGAGAGAGUGCGCAAGGAGACAGAGAGGACAAUAAGAAGGCGGCGACGCGGGCCCGGAGCGGUGGAACAGACUGCGAGGCCCAGCGAAGCUGCCUGUUUAUCGUCCCUUCCUCUGAGCCGGACACUGUGGCCUCACUUAAUCCUCAAACCCUCCCAAGGGCAUGCCAACAAAUAUUGUUGAACGCUAGAUGAAGGAUCUCGUCACCCGCUGGGAAUGACAAGAUUUACACAUCCCAAGUAGAGGACCACAUAGAAAGGAGAGGCAGACUGAAAGACGCCUCUAAACAUCCCCUUGAUGCUGACUGAAUCACCCACAUGAGCGGAUACAGGAGCGCUCAAGCUACCACUGCCUGCCACCCACCUUCCUAGCAGGUGUGCUUGUGCUGUUACUUUGCUACUUGAUAAAGCAUUGUUCUAUCAGGGUGACCGGGAAGUAGAAACACAAAGGGCCGGUUGCCAUGAGCAGAAGGUGGGUCUCACUCAUGGAAUACAGAAGCAACGAGACACAGAGCGGUGGGCAGAACCUCAAACCCACCAGGUCACCAGCCCCAACUUCCCUUCUCUUGUCAUCCAGAACACUGCCAAGUCUUGAGGUCAGGAAAGGAAGGACGUCCAAGGGGACCGUUCCACAUACACGUGUGAAGCCCUCCCUGGAAGGGAUAGUGAGCCUCAUGACCUGCCUGCGAAGUCCGGGACCACGAUCCCACUGUGGAGAUGAGAGAACUUAUGCUCAGAGGCCUCGGGGCUAUGCCCACAGGCCGCACUGUCGCUGACAGAGCUGAGACGCCAGUCCAGACUCCUGAGUCCAAAGUUUAGGUGUUUCCCUCUCAAAGGUCUCAAACUGGCAGCUCCGGGGCCAAAUUAGACCUGUCGAUGUGCUUUUGGAGGCCAGCUCGAUGCUUUUAAUUUUUUUGAAAUGAACGGCCAACAUUUGAAAAUCAGAUUUCACAUAGACUUCCAGAUUUCUGGUUUCAUUUGACAAACUGAAAACUUUGACAACCCCAGGCCUGGAACCUCAACAACUGGCUGCAAUCGGUUGGGGAUGGAGCAAGAAGAGGCGACCCUCUGAGCAUUGAAUGAUGCUGGGACGGGGCCCCUUCAGCAGCAUCACCACCAUCCACCCAUGGCCGAUGCCUGAAAUCCUGCUGUUAGCACGUGAUCUCUUUGGUUAAGGAGUUGCCUCUUCAGGGGUCAUUUUCAAAGGCGAGUACUCCUGGAAGGUAUCAACCAUUCACACUUGAGUAUGAAUUGCUUUCCCAGCCUUCCCAAAUUUUUACAGAUGCUUGAGAACUGAGACACUUUGUCCAAGCAGCACACUUUUUUCAGAUAAAAAGUCUGAAACCGGAGAGGUGAAAUGCUUUGUUUGUGAUUAGGAGCAGAGCUGGAGCCAGAAUGUGGAUUCCCUGAGUCUGUGGCCUAGGGCAGCGGUCAGCAAACCUUUCCUGUAAAUGGUCAGAUAGUAAAUAUUUCAGAAUUUGCUGGCCAGAUGGUCUCUAUUGCAACUACCCCAUUCUGCAGCAGUGCUGUGAAAGCAGCCGUAGACAAUAUGAAAUGAAUGAGCAUGGAUGUGUUCCAAUCAAAUUCUAUUUAUGGUGCUAAAAGUUGAAUUUCAUAUAAUUUUUGUAUGUCAUGAAAUAUCCUUCUUUUGGCUUUUUUUCAACCAUUUAAAAAUGCAAAAACCAUUCUCAGUCUGCAGGCCACACAAAACCAAGCCCUGAGCCAGACUGAGCCCGAGGGCUGGAGCCCAUUUACCCAGGCCUAGAGCAAUGGUUUCGAGAAAACUGCACCAUAGGCCCUCUCCCACUUUUAAGUUGUUUCUAAAGUGUUUUCUCAAAAGCCUGAUGAAGCAGGAUGUGAUUCAGAAUUUGUAUUCAAUGUCAUAUUUUAAAUACUGACAUUUUAAAAGAAAACUGUUACAUCACCCUUUUAAAUGAACAUAGUGGAAGAGAAUUUUGACAUCCACCAUCAUCCUUUUUCUUUUUCAAUUUUUUUAUUGUGGUAAAACGCACACGAUACAAAAUUUACUGUCUUAGCCAUUUUUAAGUGUCCAGGUCCGUGGUAUUAAAUAUGUUCAUAAUGCUGUGCAACCAUCACCACCAUCCUUCUCCAUAGCUCUUUUCAUCUUGUAAAACGGAAACUCUGUCCCCAUUAAAUACUAACUUCCCAUUCCCCCCUCCCCCUAGCCCCUGGAGGCCACCAUUCUACUUUCUGUCUCUAGGAUUUUGACUACCCUAAGUAUCUCAUGUAAGUGGAAUUGUACAGUAUUUGUCUUUUUGGGACUGGCUUAUUUCACUUAGCAUCAUGUCCUUGGAGUCUAGCCAUGUCGUAGCAUGUGGCAGAAUCUCCCUCCUUUUUAAGAGUGCAUAAUAUUCCAUUGUGUGAAUAGACUGCAUUUUCUUACCAUUCGCGUCUGUCAAUGGACCGCUUCCAUAUUUCAGUUACUGUGAACAACGCUGCUAUGAACACAGAUGUUGAAGCCCGCCCCAAAAUAUGCCACUUAAGGCAUAAGGAUUAUUUUCAGUUAAAGGCACUUGAAAUAACAGCAAAUACAAGAAAAACGCUUUGACCUUCCUUCUUUUUCUUAAGAGCAGGAGAUGAAAUUCCCAUAGGAAAGAUGUCGUCCCUACCCCAGAAGGAAAGGAUAUUAUUUCCUGCUAAAAUGAGUCAGGCAUUAGCAUCCUAUUUUUCAUUUUUAUAGACGUGAGCGCUGACUGGAUGGGACUAGAAGGAAUUUUUUUUACAGUGACGCCACUCAAUCUUUCAACUGUGACCAAGUGAUGAGCCAGACAUCACAAAGUCACCUAGCAUCAAAUUGCUUUUUAAUUUUUAAGAUUCUGUGGCAAGCAAAAGCUGGAAACCAGCUGACUUGCAAAAGGAUUUGUUAUCUCAGAGUCACUAACUUCCUCGUCACCAGCGCCUACACUUCGAAUGGUCCCUUUGUUGGCACCCAGUAGGAUGGGGGAUGGGUUAGGCCUGCAUCGUUUUGGUCCAGUGAAAGAGCUAUUAGGGAAGGUGUGGAUGGGGAGGGGUCCAGAAGGACGGCGAGGAUCCCUGGGAAUCGAGUCCCUUAAGACCACCCGGGCCCUUCCCAUCUGAAGACCACCAGCCCAGUGCAAAGAGGGAGGAGGCAAAUCCUGUGCCAAGAACUCCAAAAACGCUUCCCAUGAACUAUUCAGUGCAAACCCCUAUACCAGGCUCUAAUGUGA